rnacentral:rRNA from 1 species
AUGGAGGGUGUUACAGUGUUGAUUGUUGGUGCUGGGCCAGCAGGCCUCGCAACGGCAGCAUGCCUUAGCCAAUUCUCAAUUCCUUAUGCCAUCGUCGAGCGUGAGGGCUGUAGCGCCUCACUCUGGCGCAACCGCGCGUAUGAUCGCCUCAAGCUGCAUCUCGCAAUGGAGUUCUGUGAGUUGCCACACAUGUCAUACCCUAUAGAUGCACCAACAUACAUACCAAUAACCUUGUUUGUGAAGUACUUGGAUGACUAUGUUGAGAGUUUCAACAUUCAACCAAGGUAUCUCACCGGCGUGGAGUCAUCCACAUAUGGCAAUGAUGAAAAAUGUUGGUCCAUUGUGGCAAAGGACAUGUCAAAAUGCACCACAGUCAAGUUCAUGGCAAAGUUUCUUGUUGUGGCAAGUGGUGAGAAUAGUGCAGAGAAUAUUCCAAUGUUCCCUGGACUGGAAAACUUUCCAGCCAUGGUGCCAACACCUCGAUUGUUAUAUGAAGCC